UUUAUCUUUACUUUCUUCUUUAUAUUGUACCUACAAUAUUGUAUUUGUUAUUUGCAAAUUGAAUCUGAUGAUAAAUAGGAUUUUUCUUCUCCUGGCAAGUUAUUCAAAAUGUGGUGAUUAAUAUCAUCAACAAUUUUAUUUGUAGGUGUGAGAUUCAAGGUUUGAAACUAACUUGUGAUUUGCGUUUCGAAGUUGUUUUCUUUUAACUGAAACUGAGAAUAAUUUCCUGACCCCUGGUCUGAUGUCGUAGCCGAGACAGCAGUUGCAUUGGCAACUUCUUCAUUAGUAUUCAAAGCCAUCAAUCUAAAUGUGGCAUCAUCAGCCAGGAAAAUUGGAGGUUCCAUAAUACCCUGCACAUUUAGAGUAUUAUAACGAGAGCAAGGAUACCAUACAAUUGAAGAAGAAAAAAAUUGUCAACGUACUUCCACUUUUUUUUGGUGAUUACGAAAUAAGUCAGCUUCUGAAAUCAGAUAGCUCAACCCACUAGCAAGUUUAACAACUUCGAUAGCACCUAUCUGCUCUGAGGUGGCAUGCUGUCUUAAAUCUGUUUGACAAUCACAAAGUUUCCUCCACAAAUUUUGCACCAUAUCUAUCAUAGUAGAUGGACAGUCAACAUGCUUUGACUCCAACUUUAAAUCCAUUUGACUGCACUGAUCCAUUGUGUUAUAAAUGGAUGCAGAUGCAAUUUCCAUGUUCACAUCAGUAAAAUCUUGUGAAGUUGCUCUUGGAGAAGAUUUGUGAAUUUCAAUAUUCACCAACAAAUCUUGAUCUUUAGGAACUUUGCCCACGGCCUGAUAAACCCUGAAAGAGAAUGGUUUCAAUUCAUUAUCCAGAGAAACAUCUACUGGACAGGAAAGCUGCCCAGAAGACACUACUUUAGAUUUUGCAGUCUCAGAAACAAAGCUUGGUUCUGGAAACCGGGACAGAUCAGAACGCAAUAGCUCGCAAAAAGACAUGUUGGCAUAGUUUUGAUUCAAUAGAAAGUUAAAGAAAGAUUCAGUGUUGCCUUCAUGGGUUUGUCUCGUGUAAGCUUCGUCAUGAACAUUUACAGAAUGUCUACUAUUUGGAUCCUUAUCCAUAUCAUUAGAGGACAUCACAAAAAGUUGACCUUGGUCUUUUGUAGCCGGAAUUGUUCUUGAGGAAAAGAAUUGGCCGCCGUUUUUCCCAAUUAUCCAUCACGAUAUUGCUACUGAAAUUCUGAAUCAUCUUAAAAAAUUGCAAUAUGUUGCAUUUACUACACUGUUAGGUAUGCACUCCUCUUUUUAGUUGAAUUGUAUUAUAGUGAUGAUGGAGAGGAGUUUUGUUA